rnacentral:rRNA from 1 species
UACGGGGGGGAGCAAGCGUUGUUCGGAUUUACUGGGCGUAAAGGGCGCGUAGGCGGUCAGCACAAGUCAGUUGUGAAAUCUCCGGGCGUUAACUCGGAACGGUCAACUGAUACUGUGCGACUAGAGUGCAGAAGGGGCAACUGGAAUUCUCGGUGUAGCGGUGAAAUGCGUAGAUAUCGAGAGGAACACCUGCGGCGAAGGCGGGUUGCUGGGCGUGAC